rnacentral:rRNA from 1 species
UAACACAGCCAUAUCACCCUGCAGCCCAAGAGCGGUUACUCACUGAGGCUAGGCAGGGCUGAGCCUGGUCAGUACCUAGGUCAAAGACCACAUGGGAAAACCAGGUUGCUGUUGGAA